CUCUGUCCGGGCGCGGAAGUCUGAACCCAGAGUGAGGGUGCCGGCCCCUCGCUCCGCGAUGUGAAUGUCACCUGCUCCGAGCCGCGUGGGGAGCGCACCUGGAAGCCCACGAUGUUCUUUCAAGCUUCCAGCACCAAACCUUCACAAUUCUAAUGAGGAUUCGUCAGGAGGGAAGACCCAGAGAGAAAAAGGCCAAGGAUGAGAUGUAACCUCUAGGACACACACAGACACGGACUUAGCAGUAUCCUAGAAUCUCUCAGGCCAACACAUUUCACCAUAAGUCCAACCAUCAGGUGAGAGUUGUACUACGGUGACAUUAAUGUGGAAGGAGAGAAGCUUUCAAUCUGUGAGGAGGGAAC
rnacentral:lncRNA from 1 species